AAUGACCACUAACUAGUUGAUAAUGCAAAGUUGUGUGCAGUCUUUGCUAAACUCAAUCUCUCUGGGAGGUAAAUGUUUUGUGCGACAUGGACACACGCCUAAAAGACCCAGAAGGGCGGGUGCCAAAGUAUUGAUCACUAAACACCCGCAUGCAGUGGAAUUGCCAGAGCAAAUGUCGGAAUACCUGAAAAGUUCAGCAGCCAUGACUGAAAAAGACCAACAUAGCCAACAACCUCACAAAAUGCACGUCGUGACCAGGCUGAACAAAAUGGUGAUCUGGCAAGAAAGAAGGAUUCUCCAUGAACUUGGAUUGCUGGGACCGCCAGGCAAAGUUAAAAUCCUGACGAACACUCCAUAUGUCAACAAUCUCCUAUGGCAAGUGAAACACGCGGUCAAAAUAACCCCCCUUGUGAUUGACGGAUUAAUUCCUGACACGCAAGAGAAUUUUCGAGGGGGACAUUUGAGCCCAAGUGGAGUCUACACUUUUUUCACAGAAGAAAACAGUCUCGGAACACUGGCACCAACUUUUGAAACUAUAACCGAACUUCCAGAAACGGAGAUGAAACCUUAUGAAAUUUCUAGAUUUGAUUAUAAACCGUUCUAUUAUAAUUAUAGAGAGGAUUCAUGAUGAUUUUUGAUAAAUUGGAUGAGCAAUAGCUUUUCAUAUUAAGGCAAUGUUUGGACGUGUCGAUCAAUUGCUUAAUGAGCUUAA